GUGCAGCAGGCGAGAAACUUUACAAUGUGCGAAAGCACGAUAAGGGAACUCUGAGUGCCUCCUAAGGAGGCUGUUCAGGUGUCUAAAAGCACCUGAAGGAAGGGCUGGGUAAGACCGGUGCCAGCCGCCGCGGUAACACCGGCAGCCCAAGUGGUAGCCACGUUUAUUGGGUCUAAAGCGUCCGUAGCCGGCUGGGUAAGUUCCUUGGGAAAUUUGGCUGCUUAACAGUCAAGCUUUCAGGGAAUACUGCCCGGCUUGGGACCGGGAGAGGUCAGAGGUACUCCAGGGGUAGGGGUGAAAUCCAUUAAUCCUUGGGGGACCACCGGUAGCGAAGGCGUCUGACCAGACCGGGUCCGACGGUGAGGGACGAAGGCUA
rnacentral:rRNA from 1 species